GACGAACGCUGGCGGCGUGCUUAACACAUGCAAGUCGAACGGAAAGGCCCUGCUUUUGUGGGGUGCUCGAGUGGCGAACGGGUGAGUAACACGUGAGUAACCUGCCCUUGACUUUGGGAUAACUUCAGGAAACUGGGGCUAAUACCGGAUAGGAGCUCCUGCUGCAUGGUGGGGGUUGGAAAGUUUCGGCGGUUGGGGAUGGACUCGCGGCUUAUCAGCUUGUUGGUGGGGUAGUGGCUUACCAAGGCUUUGACGGGUAGCCGGCCUGAGAGGGUGACCGGCCACAUUGGGACUACGAUACGGCCCAGACUCCUACGGGGGGCAGAAGUGGGGAAUAUUGCACAAUGGGCGGAAGCCUGAUGCAGCAACGCCGCGUGCGGGAUGACGGCCUUCGGGUUGUAAACCGCUUUCGCCUGUGACGAAGCGUGAGUGACGGUAAUGGGUAAAGAAGCACCGGCUAACUACGUG
rnacentral:rRNA from 1 species